GCAGUGAGGAAUAUUGGACAAUGGGUGAGAGCCUGAUCCAGCCAUCCCGCGUGAAGGACGACGGUUCUAUGGAUUGUAAACUUCUUUUAUACUGGGAUAAACCUACUCUCGUGAGAGUAGCUGAAGGUACAGUAUGAAUAAGCACCGGCUAACUCCGUGCCAGCAGCCGCGGUAAUACGGAGGGUGCAAGCGUUAUCCGGAUUUAUUGGGUUUAAAGGGUCCGUAGGCGGAUCCGUAAGUCAGUGGUGAAAUCUCAUAGCUUAACUAUGAAACUGCCAUUGAUACUGCGGGUCUUGAGUAAAGUAGAAGUGGCUGGAAUAAGUAGUGUAGCGGUGAAAUGCAUAGAUAUUACUUAGAACACCAAUUGCGAAGGCAGGUCACUAUGUUUUAACUGACGCUGAUGGACGAAAGCGUGGGGAGCGAACAGGAUUAGA
rnacentral:rRNA from 1 species